rnacentral:rRNA from 1 species
UACGGAGGGUGCAAGCGUUAUCCGGAUUCACUGGGUUUAAAGGGUGCGUAGGUGGGUUGGUAAGUCAGUGGUGAAAUCUCCAGGCUUAACUUGGAAACUGCCAUUGAUACUAUCACUCUUGAAUACCGUGGAGGUCAGCGGAAUAUGUCAUGUAGCGGUGAAAUGCUUAGAUAUGUCACAGAACACCAAUUGCGAAGGCAGCUUACUAUGGUAUGAUUGACGCUGAGGCACGAAAGCGUGGGGAUCAAACAGG